rnacentral:tRNA from 1 species
GUCAGUUUGUCCGAGUGGUUAAGGAGAUGGACUUGAAAUCCAUUGGGCAUUGCCCGCACAGGUUCGAACCCUGUAGCUGACG